rnacentral:rRNA from 1 species
GACGAACGCUGGCGGCGUGCCUAAUACAUGCAAGUUGAGCGCUGAAGGUUGGUACUUGUACCAACUGGAUGAGCAGCGAACGGGUGAGUAACGCGUGGGGAAUCUGCCUUUGAGCGGGGGACAACAUUUGGAAACGAAUGCUAAUACCGCAUAAAAACUUUAAACACAAGUUUUAAGUUUGAAAGAUGCAAUUGCAUCACUCAAAGAUGAUCCCGCGUUGUAUUAGCUAGUUGGUGAGGUAAAGGCUCACCAAGGCGAUGAUACAUAGCCGACCUGAGAGGGUGCUCUGCAACAUUGGGACUGAGACACGGCCCAAACUCCUACGGGAGGCAGCAGUAGGGAACCUUAGGCAAUGGAAGCAAGUCUGAACGAGCAACGCCGCGCGAGUGACGAAGGUUGUCGGAUCGUAAAACUCUGUUGGUAGAGAAGAACGUUGGUGAGAGUGGCAAGCUCAUCAAGUGACGGUAACUACCCAGAAAGGGACGGCUAACUACGUG